AAAUCAUGUCAGAAGGACACUUUUUGGUUAGAUGCUUGUAUCUUUCCCAUGCUUCAUAGAGUGAUUCACCUUCUUUCUGCCUGAAAGUUUAAACAUCCACUCUAAGCUU